UACGUAGGGCGCAAGCGUUGUCCGGAAUUAUUGGGCGUAAAGAGCUCGUAGGCGGCCUGUUGCGUCCGCUGUGAAAUCCCGGGGCUUAACCCCGGGCUUGCAGUGGAUACGGGCAGGCUGGAGGCAGGCAGGGGAGAACGGAAUUCCCGGUGUAGCGGUGAAAUGCGCAGAUAUCGGGAGGAACACCGGUGGCGAAGGCGGCUCUCUGGGACGGUACUGACGCUGAGACGCGAAAGCGUGGGGAGCGAACAGG
rnacentral:rRNA from 1 species